rnacentral:lncRNA from 1 species
UGGGGAGGCUUGCGGCUGCGGCCGCUGGCUUGAAGGAGCCCUUUUUAUGGCUUUGGGUUUUUUUUUCUCUCUAGAAAUGCAUCUGAUUUGGCAGAACUCUUUCCCUGUUGCUGGUGACUACUGAAAGACUGACCCCCAGUCAAUACUUCUAUUGAUAACAGGGAUAAGAGGGAAACCCUCUAAUUUUGCCUAAGUGUUUUGAUAAUCAGCAGUAAUGGGAAAAAGCAGAAGAACGUCCAUCAUCGCUUUAAUGAGAAACCAACUUGCAUAGAAGUCAACCAUUGUACCACAGGGCAGUCUGUAGAGCAGUUGGACAUCAGGGAUGGAUUUGCCUGGUCAAAGGUGGAAGCCUUCUCCAUAUCUAAUAACCUAAACACAUGGAGAGAAACAAGAGCUUGUGGGCUGUGUUCAUCUUACCCUAAGGUCAAUGGCAAGAGCCACAAGUUUGAGUGCCUACUUUUCUGUCAAUUAGCACAGGUGCCUAGGCUGACUAAAUAAAGCCACUUGAAGAGCUACUGUAGGUAGGACCGAUGCUCCUGUCUGCUGCGGGGAACUGCUUCCUUCUGUGGAUGCAGCUACAAGGGGGGACCUGAAAGAAACAAAUGGCUGAGAAUGUCAACCUGAUGCUGAAAGCAGCUGUGAAAAAUCCUGGUAAAGGAGGAACAGUUGCUUUAUAUCACUAUUUUUGGAACCUAGAAGACCAUGGUACGUUCCUGGCUGUGUUUCUGCUCACUGUG